rnacentral:misc_RNA from 1 species
AAGUCGUAACAAGGUUUCCGUAGGUGAACCUGCGGGAGGAUCAUUACAGUGUUCCCUGCCCUUCGGGGUAGGAUCGCCACCCUUGAUUAUUUAUGAGUGUUGCUUUGGCGGGCCUCGCGGCCUGGCCGCGCCCCGGCUUCGGCGGGGGAGCGCCCGCCAGAGGAUUCUACAAACCUGAUUAUUAGUGUCGUCUGAGUACUGUAUAAUAGUUAAAA